CUGCACCACUUAAGGAAGAAAGGUUCAGAUUGUGAGACAAAGGAUAUAUGUACCAUAUCACUGCUCCUCUAUCAAGCAUCAGUUCUCAUUAUGAUUCCCAUGGACAUGUGGUUGUCCAUUACACAGAUGUUGAUACAAAUGUUCAGCUCCUUUUUAGGUACCGUUGCUCAUGUUGCAGCCCGAGGUUGUAGCUACACAGGAACACAAAUUCAGAUAUAA
rnacentral:misc_RNA from 1 species